AAAUCAGAACAUGAGACACAAGACAUGGAAAAAACACAACACAAGACAUGAUACAACGAAGUAAAUCAUAAACAAGAAACCAAAAACCAGACACAAAGGACAACACAAACAGGAGUCGUGACAUGUUCAAUGAUCAACAGUCUUGAUAAUGAUUAAUAAUGUUGGCACUGAACAGUGAAACAAUCAACAUUAAUUUACUGUGAAUUUGCUCUGUAUAUCGUAUUGAGGAGAAGACUUGAAAACUGAUCACAGUCUCAGGGAGACACUGGAUAUCCAGGAAGAUAUACUUCUCAGUGAAUCAUGUAAAGACCACCAGAGAGCAGCAUACUGCAGUGUUUGGCAUGACGGUGCUUUGAGCACUGGGUGGUGUACAGGUACAGGAAGGAAUAUAAGAGAGUUCACCAGGACAGGUGGAGGUGAUUGAGACCAGGAUGAGCCCACCAAGCAUAUAUUGUUAUGUUAUUUUUCAUUGGAAUCUUGCAAGUUACAAAAGUCUCUCUAGUGGCUUUGAGUAGCAGUUGUUACCACAAUAAGUUGUCAGCUAAUGUUGAAAUUUACUUCAUUUAACCAUUAAUGUGUCA